UUUAAGUGUAACCAUAAGUAAGUUUUCGCGUCCAACUUUGAUCGUCCGUUUUAUUUGAAAAAAUUAUAUAAUUAGUAUUUUUGUUGUUAUGAGAUGAUAAAAUAUGAAUAGUACUUUACUUGUGACUUAUGCUUUUAUUUUGUUUUUUUUAAAAAAAUAAAUAAGACGGAAGGUCAAAGUUGGAUACGAAAAACUAUGACUGCACUUAAA
rfam:Oryza sativa Japonica Group DNA, chromosome 3, cultivar: Nipponbare, complete sequence.